UGGCCAGCCACCGCCACAACAUUGAAAGGCCACCAUAUCUCCAAACACCAUCGACAAAGAAUCACAGAAUCGAGAGAAUCUGGCCAGAAAUCAACAACCGGGUUAACUACCCGUUGAAAGCUGCAUUGGUCCAACUGGUGGAUCAGGAGGAGCUGGACAUGGAGGACCAGAUGACUCGGUUCUGUGUGUCAUCUUUGACAUGCCAGUUGGCCCAGAUCGGUGUUAACCGAACUGUGCAAGCAUGGAAUGCACACAGGAUUCCUGGGAGGGGGAUACCAAAUUACUUGGCCAGAGAUGGAUGCCCAAAGAAGCUGCCGACAGACCUUUUGCCAAAUGCAUCUGUGGCUGCAGACUGGUACGACCAGGAAGUGGGCUCA